rnacentral:rRNA from 1 species
GAUGAACGCUAGCUACAGGCUUAACACAUGCAAGUCGAGGGGAAACGAUAGGGGAAGCUUGCUUUUUCUAGGCGUCGACCGGCGCACGGGUGAGUAACGCGUAUCCAACCUGCCCAUCACUUGGGGAUAACCUUGCGAAAGUAAGACUAAUACCCAAUGACGUCUCUAGAAGACAUCUGAAGGAGAUUAAAGACUUAUCGGUGAUGGAGGGGGAUGCGUCUGAUUAGCUUGUUGGCGGGGUAACGGCCCACCAAGGCGACGAUCAGUAGGGGUUCUGAGAGGAAGGUCCCCCACAUUGGAACUGAGACACGGUCCAAACUCCUACGGGAGGCAGCAGUGAGGAAUAUUGGUCAAUGGACGAGAGUCUGAACCAGCCAAGUAGCGUGCAGGAAGACGGCCCUAUGGGUUGUAAACUGCUUUUAUAAGGGAAUAAAGUGAGUCUCGUGAGACUUUUUACAUGUACCUUAUGAAUAAGGACCGGCUAAUUCCGUGCCAGCCGCCGCGGUAA